UACGUAGGGAGCAAGCGUUGUCCGGAAUCAUUGGGCGUAAAGCGCGCGUAGGCGGCCCUGUAAGUCCGCUGUGAAAGUCAAAGGCUCAACCUUUGAAUGCCGGCCGAUACUGUGAGGCUAGAGUCCGGAAGAGGCGAGUGGAAUUCCUGGUGUAGCGGUGAAAUGCGCAGAUAUCAGGAGGAACACCGAUGGCGAAGGCAGCUCGCUGGGCCAGUUCUGACGCUGAGGAGCGAAAGCGUGGGGAGCGAACAGG
rnacentral:rRNA from 1 species